GUGCUGGGGGAGCGAGGGACGGCGAGUGGGCGAAGGAAAGAGGAGGAAAAGGAGAGGGGCAGAUACCAGGAGAGCAGAGUUCUCACAGAUCUCGCUGCAUUUGUGUGAUAAGAGAGGAAAUCAGGGCUUCAGAUGAGGGAAAUUGCAGAGGGACACGUAUCACCUUCCUUUACGUUGUGAGAGGCGGAUCACAAGAAGCGCACAGAGACGGGAAAGAGAUGGGAUGUGAGGAGACGUCUUGAAAUGUACUCGGAAUAACCUCCUCAGAAAAUGUUAUGAUAUCCUCACUUAUGAAAAUGACUGUUUCUGCUUCGUUUCAGAUUUAUUUCGCCGGAUUUUUCAGGAGGAGGCUUCAUAAUGAAACCAGGUGAAGUCGAAACAUCCACGCUGCAGAGAAACAGACCCUCAGGCAGUAACAGUGUGCAGAGACACAACCCUGUGAGUGCAGGUUCACAGACCUGAUCCCUGCAAACCCACAUGUGUGCUCAUCAACAGGACCACACCUGUGGGUUUGCUUAUUUUUAGCCUGUUGCCAUGUGGAUUUUUUUUCUUGGAUGUUUCUCCUUCUCUGAUGUCAAAAUUUCAGCGUGUGGUAAAUCUUUUUUUCAGACUUCAGGCAUCAGGAUCCAGAGCAUCCAGAUACAACAGCUUUUAUGAAGAGAAAACUAAAAAGUCCUAUCUGAGCGUGUGGACAUGACGCUAAAUUGGACUUCUUAUGUUGAUGCUCCAGGUUUGCUCAGAGUGUCUUCUUUGGUUUGGGUAUAAAUAUCAUGAAACAGUAAUCAUGUGAUUAAAAAACAAACAUGAAAGUGAUCGACAAG